rnacentral:rRNA from 1 species
UACGUAGGGGGCGAGCGUUGUCCGGAAUUAUUGGGCGUAAAGAGCUCGUAGGCGGCUUGUCGCGUCGGAUGUGAAAGCCCGGGGCUUAACCCCGGGUCUGCAUUCGAUACGGGCAGGCUAGAGUUCGGUAGGGGAGAUCGGAAUUCCUGGUGUAGCGGUGAAAUGCGCAGAUAUCAGGAGGAACACCGGUGGCGAAGGCGGAUCUCUGGGCCGAUACUGACGCUGAGGAGCGAAAGCGUGGGGAGCGAACAGG